GACGAACGCUGGCGGCGCGCUUAACACAUGCAAGUCGAACGGAAAGGCCCUGCUUUUGUGGGGUGCUCGAGUGGCGAACGGGUGAGUAACACGUGAGUAACCUGCCCUUGACUUUGGGAUAACUUCAGGAAACUGGGGCUAAUACCGGAUAGGAGCUCCUGCUGCAUGGUGGGGGUUGGAAAGUUUCGGCGGUUGGGGAUGGACUCGCGGCUUAUCAGCUUGUUGGUGGGGUAGUGGCUUACCAAGGCUUUGACGGGUAGCCGGCCUGAGAGGGUGACCGGCCACAUUGGGACUGAGAUACGGCCCAGACUCCUACGGGAGGCAGCAGUGGGGAAUAUUGCACAAUGGGCGGAAGCCUGAUGCAGCAACGCCGCGUGCGGGAUGACGGCCUUCGGGUUGUAAAGCGCUUUCGCCUGUGACGAAGCGUGAGUGACGGUAAUGGGUAAAGAAGCACCGGCUAACUACGUG
rnacentral:rRNA from 1 species